GUAUCGCUAUAGUGAAGUUACUUCAUGCUUAUGGUGUGAAUAAUAUGAUUAUGUGCGAUUCAAAAGGUGCUAUU
rnacentral:tRNA from 5 species